rfam:Gossypium hirsutum cultivar TM-1 chromosome 19, whole genome shotgun sequence
AUCCCUUGGUGGGGGCACUUUCUCGUGAACAAUUUAAAGCAUUCCCAUGCCUCAUAUAGGUUUUCACCCUCAAUCUGCUUGAAGUUGGAAAUAUCAUGUCUAAACU